GGGAUUGCCCCAGUAACGGCGAGUGAAGCGGCAACAGCUCAAAUUUGAAAUCUGGCCCCCCCCCGGGGGGCCCGAGUUGUAAUUUGCAGAGGAUGCUUUGGGCGAGGCGCCUUCCGAGUUCCCUGGAACGGGACGCCACAGAGGGUGAGAGCCCCGUCUGGUCGGACGCCGAGCCUCUGUAAAGCUCCUUCGACGAGUCGAGUAGUUUGGGAAUGCUGCUCAAAACGGGAGGUAUAUGUCUUCUAAAGCUAAAUACCGGCCAGAGACCGAUAGCGCACAAGUAGAGUGAUCGAAAGAUGAAAAGCACCUUGAAAAGGGGGUUAAACAGUACGUGAAAUUGUUGAAAGGGAAGCGCUCGUGACCAGACUUGGGGCGGGCGGAUCAGCCGGCGUUCUCGCCGGCGCACUCCGCCCGUCCCAGGCCAGCAUCAGUUCGCGCCGGGGGACAAAGGCGGCGGGAACGUGGCUCCCCAGGGAGUGUUAUAGCCCGCCGCGCCAUGCCCCGGGGGCGGACUGAGGGCCGCGCAUCACUGCAAGGAUGCUGGCGUAAUGGUCACCAGCGACCCGUCUUGAAACACGGGCCAAGGAGUCGUCCUCGUAUGCGAGUGUUCGGGUGUCAAACCCCUACGCGGAAUGAAAGUGAACGUGGGUGAGAGCUUCGGCGCAUCAUCGACCGAUCCUGAUGUUCUCGGAUGGAUUUGAGUAGGAGCAUACGGGGCCGGACCCGAAAGAAGGUGAACUAUGCCUGUGUAGGGUGAAGCCAGAGGAAACUCUGGUGGAGGCUCGCAGCGGUUCUGACGUGCAAAUCGAUCGUCAAACAUGGGCAUGGGGGCGAAAGACUAAUCGAA
rnacentral:rRNA from 1 species